rnacentral:rRNA from 1 species
GAUGAACGCUGGCGGCGUGCCUAAUACAUGCAAGUCGAGCGAACAGACGAGGAGCUUGCUCCUCUGACGUUAGCGGCGGACGGGUGAGUAACACGUGGAUAACCUACCUAUAAGACUGGGAUAACUUCGGGAAACCGGAGCUAAUACCGGAUAAUAUAUUGAACCGCAUGGUUCAAUAGUGAAAGACGGUUUUGCUGUCACUUAUAGAUGGAUCCGCGCCGCAUUAGCUAGUUGGUAAGGUAACGGCUUACCAAGGCGACGAUGCGUAGCCGACCUGAGAGGGUGAUUGGCCACACUGGAACUGAGACACGGUCCAGACUCCUACGGGAGGCAGCAGUAGGGAAUCUUCCGCAAUGGGCGAAAGCUUGACGGAGCAACGCCGCGUGAGUGAUGAAGGUCUUCGGAUUGUAAAACUCUGUUAUUAGGGAAGAACAAAUGUGUAAGUAACUAUGCACGUCUUGACGGUACCUAAUCAGAAAGCCACGGCUAACUACGUG